AGUUGAGAGAUGGCGGCCGCCGCAGGUAGAUCGCUCCUGCUGCUCCUCUCCUCUCGGGGCGGCGGCGGCGGGGGCGCCGGCGGCUGCGGGGCGCUGACUGCCGGCUGCUUCCCUGGGCUGGGCGUCAGCCGCCACCGGCAGCAGCAGCACCACCGGACGGUCUUUCACUACCAUUCCUACAGUGAUUGGCAAGAUACCGUUUCUACCUCACUCUCCAUGUACCAUGCCAGUGACAUCUUAGCUGCUAGAGUGUGGAGCUGGCCUGUGGGAGUCAAGUAUUGGUGAUGUGACCUGUUCACGCAGGGGAAACUUGAACAUUCGCAGGUACACCAGAGGAUCGCUUCCUGGCAGAAUUUGGGAGCUGUUUAUUGCAGCACUGUUGUGCCCUCUGAUGAUGUUACAGUGGUUUAUCAAAAUGGGUUACCUGUGAUAUCUGUGAGGCUACCAUCCCGGCGUGAACGCUGUCAGUUCACACUCAAGCCUAUCUCUGACUCUGUUGGUGUAUUUUUACGACAACUGCAAGAAGAGGAUCGGGGAAUUGACAGAGUUGCUAUCUAUUCACCAGAUGGUGUUCGCGUUGCUGCUUCAACAGGAAUAGACCUCCUCCUCCUUGAUGACUUUAAGCUGGUCAUUAAUGACUUAACAUACCACGUACGACCACCAAAAAGAGACCUCUUAAGUCAUGAAAAUGCAGCAACGCUGAAUGAUGUAAAGACAUUGGUCCAGCAACUAUACACCACACUGUGCAUUGAGCAGCACCAGUUAAACAAGGAAAGGGAGCUUAUUGAAAGACUAGAGGAUCUCAAAGAGCAGCUGGCUCCCCUGGAAAAGGUACGAAUUGAGAUUAGCAGAAAAGCUGAGAAGAGGACCACUUUGGUGCUAUGGGGUGGCCUUGCCUACAUGGCCACACAGUUUGGCAUUUUGGCCCGGCUUACCUGGUGGGAAUAUUCCUGGGACAUCAUGGAGCCAGUAACAUACUUCAUCACUUAUGGAAGUGCCAUGGCAAUGUAUGCAUAUUUUGUAAUGACACGCCAGGAAUAUGUUUAUCCAGAAGCCAGAGACAGACAAUACUUACUAUUUUUCCAUAAAGGAGCCAAAAAGUCACGUUUUGACCUAGAGAAAUACAAUCAACUCAAGGAUGCAAUUGCUCAGGCAGAAAUGGACCUUAAGAGACUGAGAGACCCAUUACAAGUACAUCUGCCUCUCCGACAAAUUGGUGAAAAAGAUUGAUCUGCAAAAAGCCUCUGAAUCCUGGCAGAAGGAACACCUGUUUGCCUUUUUAAUUAAAGCAUUGCAGGUGGAAGCUGGGAGCCAUGUGGGGGGUAGAGCGUUUUUACCUUUAAUUAUAAAACAAAAACAGAAAGGAUCUGAGGGAAGAAGGGAAUGUUAAAACCUGAGGAUCAGGCAUUGUGGAAUAUAAGCUCAAAGGGCUUAGUGAAUAUUGUCUUAACCAAGUAUCUCAGUUUCUGGAUGAAAAUGAUGCAGUUAUAUAGUUGAGAGAUUCAUAAAGAGAAAACAAUGCUGGGGGUGUUCGUUUCUUGCAUCUUCUUUGCAGAGUCAGCAAAAGAGUAACACACCAGCACCCCACUCGACUCUAUUUGUUUUUAAUUUAACUGUCCCUAUUUUUGACAUAGGAGUAAAUAAAUAUACUAGAAAAGCAAAUUCUCAUGAUAUGCUAAAAUAUCAUUAGCAUUUAUUUUAAAUUGGACCCAGUCUCUGCAGAGUUACCAGGAAUCUUUCCUUCCAGCAUCCCUUUACUGACCACCUACCUGUACCUCUUGGUUACACUCAUUUUUUCCAUUUGAUAAUUGGAACCAACUUAUAACUGUUUAAUAAUUGACACUUUAGAUUAUCUCUUAAUACCUUCUUAAAUGUCUAUAUAUCCCAGUGCUCUGGAUCAGUGUCUAAAAAUCACUGGCAACACUGCAUGAGGUUGUUGGUUUUGUUUUGUUUUAUUAAUUAGUCUUUCACAGGAGGAAUAAUUGCCCUCCUUUAUAUACUUAUCUAUUGAUAAUCCCCUCUCCCUCCAGAACACAAAUCAGAGGGAAAGGGGGUGUUCAGCUGUACUACCAAAUCAGGAAGAUGUAAGGUUUACAAAUUGGCUAAGAAUCAUGGCUCUGUAGCCAUUUCAACCAGAAUAAUUUUAUUGCUAAUCUGCUUUGUGUGACAGCAUUCCAGGCCAGCCAGAUGGGACUGCCUUGUCUGGAGGCUUUGUUCAUCUCGAAGGACACACACUUCCACACUGUUUGUGAGCCCUCCCACCUCCACAACUUCAGUUGUAAAUCAAGUGUGUGGAUCUCAAAGGGUGCAAUUUAUCUUUAUAUAGGAAUACAUUUCUAGGGCUUCCUUCAAGCCCACUCUCUUCACCCUAUUUUUUCUUAUCUUAAAUUGAGAGAAAGAGAAUUAAUCUUAUACUUUGUCAAAACAUUUUCUACCAUAUUUCCAGAUGACAUCUGCGCUUGAAGAGUCAAAGGAAUCUGUGUCUAAUAUCCUGUUUUUAACUGCUGUAGGGGCAGGAUGGAAAGGAUGAUGGGGGCUGCCACACCACUGAUUGGCCUUUUCUUUCACGUGAUUCAUCCUUCCUCAUUGUGGCAAGGAGUUUCUUUCUCUUUUUCUUCCUCCUUUGGGAUCAUUGUGUAUGAAAAGAAAAACUUUAAAUGACAAACCCAGACUCCAGGUGCCUUGCAAAGGUUGAAGGCCAGCCAGGAUUGCUGCUGCUGCUGCUACUCCUGCCAACACCCCUUUCAUUGGCAUGACGGAAUGAAAGGAUGCAUGUCUCCACUUCCUGACCCUCCGCCCACUUCCUUCUCCCUCCACCACCCCCAGUCGUCAGCUCCUUCCCUCAUUUAUUUUUGUUAAGUUGUGUGAAUUAUUUUUAACCCAUUUAUCCUGUUUGUGCAUAGGGUUUUUAAGAAGAAACAGCACAGUGCAACGAGCAAAUCUUUUUGGGGUGUGUGGGAAGCAAGGGAGGGAGGACAUGGAGAAAAGUUCUUUAAACAAAUAGCAAACUAUUGAACAUGUGUAAAAUCCUGUAUCAUUUAUGAAAUAUGUAUAAAAAGCAAUGUACCUUCUGGAACAAUAAAUACUUAUUCAAUUUUUGAA